rnacentral:rRNA from 1 species
GAUGAACGCUGGCGGCGUGCCUAAUACAUGCAAGUCGAGCGAACAGACGAGGAGCUUGCUCCUUCGACGUUAGCGGCGGACGGGUGAGUAACACGUAGGUAACCUACCUAUAAGACUGGGAUAACUUCGGGAAACCGGAGCUAAUACCGGAUAAUAUUUCGAACCGCAUGGUUCGAUAGUGAAAGAUGGCUUUGCUAUCACCUAUAGAUGGACCUGCGCCGUAUUAGCUAGUUGGUAAGGUAACGGCUUACCAAGGCAACGAUACGUAGCCGACCUGAGAGGGUGAUCGGCCACACUGGAACUGAGACACGGUCCAGACUCCUACGGGAGGCAGCAGUAGGGAAUCUUCCGCAAUGGGCGAAAGCCUGACGGAGCAACGCCGCGUGAGUGAUGAAGGUCUUCGGAUCGUAAAACUCUGUUAUUAGGGAAGAACAAACGUGUAAGUAACUGUGCACGUCUUGACGGUACCUAAUCAGAAAGCCACGGCUAACUACGUG